rnacentral:lncRNA from 1 species
GGCUGGAGUGCAGUGGCACAAUCUCAGCUCACUGCAUCCUCCACCUCCUGGGUUCAAGCAAUUCUCCUGCCUUAGCCUCCUGAGUAGCUGGGAUUACAGGCGCCCGCCACCAUGCCCAGCUAAUUUUUUUUUUUUUAGUAGAGAUGGAGUUUCACCACCUUGGCCAGGCUGGUCUUGAACUUCUGACCUCGUGAUCCACCUGCCUCGGCCUUUCAAAGUCCGUGAGCCACCACGCCUGGACUGUAAGCUGCUUCUCAAGACAUCCCAGCAAGCUGGUUAGUAACAAACUUGGCUGCAGGUCCCUGAAACAAACAAAAAACUGGAUGAAGUCUCCAACUUGUUUUAUGUCCUUGGGAGCUUGACCUUUUAAUCACGUGGUGGUACUUUCUCUUGAUCUCAACCUUCCAGGGAACAGGAAUUUUAGGGUUCAUGUCAUAGUUAGCUCUAAAAAUCAUAUUAAAUAGUUAAAAAGCCUUUGCAAGCUCAAAAUUAACUACUCUAGGCUCCUAGGAAAGGAAAUGAAGACUGUCUUAUGCUGUAGCUCAGUAGCUAAGGUUUUUGCACUUUCACAGUGGCGGUCCAGGUUUGAUUCCCCACUUAGGAAGUAAGUCGUUUUUGGUUUAAUAUCUGCGUGACCUUGUCUAUUCUCUUCUUCUCUGCAGACUGUCUUAAAUUUUUCUUUCUCUAAGCACCUGGGCAGUUAUCUUUGGUUAAGUUUAAAAAGCCAGAAAUAUCAGCCAUUUGGCAUAAAAAAUCCUAAAAGGACUUUAUUAAAGAGUGCUAUGAUUAAAAUCAGUUUAAUUAAAAGUGAAUGUUCAAGCUUUAACAGCCUGGACUCCUUGGGAAAAACAGGAGGCACCAGAGACCCCUUUCCUGGCCCUGUUCUUCCAAGGGCUCCACCCUAAAGUCAGUAAUCCAAUUAAGACUUAAAAACUGGCAAAUGAAAAAUCUUACAACUACUGUAGUAAUCUUCUUCUGUCCUUCUGUGUAGCUAUAGAUGUGUUGUGUAUAAUGUUUAUAUAAAAGGGCUCUAAUUAAUUGGUUGAAACAAAAAUAAGUGCUUAAAUGCAAUAUUAUAAAAGCAAAAUAAAAACUGUAAUGCCUUUUAGUUCAUGUAACUUUAGUAAUCUUUGGGAAAUAAAAAUUUCCCAAAUUUUUGUUUUUGUUUUUUUUUUUUUUUUUGAGACAGAGUUUCAUUCUUGUUGCCCAGGCUGGAGUGCAAUGGAGCGAUCUCCACUCACUGCAACCUACACCUCCCUGGUUCAAGCAAUUCUCCUGCCUCAGCCUCCUGAGUAGUUGGGACUACAGGCAUGCACCACCACGCCCAGCUGAUUUUUGGGAUUUUAGUAGAGACAGAGUUUCACCAUGUUGGCCAGGCUGGUCUCAAACUCCUGACCUCAGGUGAUCCACCCACCUCAGCCUCCCAAAGUGCUGGGAUUACAGGCGUGAACCACCAUGCCUGGCCUCAAAUUUUUCUGGGGAAAAAAAUUAUUGAUAAAUAAAAGUUAUUGAUAAGAUAAAAACAUUUAGACUAAAUUAUGCCGGUCAGAUAUUAAGUUUGUUAAAUGCUUUAAGGUUAUCAACUGCUUCUUUAACUUUUAAAAAUUGUUCAAUUUACUUACCCUAAAGCCAUUAGAUUCUAGAUAAGGCCUGGGAACAUGUUCUAGAUAAGGCCUGGGAACAUGUGGAAUUACCCAUUCCUCCUAGCUAUACAAAGAAGAUUAUAAAGAAAGAGAUUUUAUAAGAAAGGAUCUUGUAUAGUAAAUUCUUGUCCUAAAGUAAAAUGACUGGUUGUUUAAAAGGAGGGAUGUUUAGGGCAAGUCAAAAAAUCCAAGAAUGCCUCAAAUAGUCUGUGUAACUCAUGAAAGGAUUUGUGAAAGGGAAUUUAUGCAAAAAAAUGUUGUACAAUUCAAAGGUUGUUAGGCCUCCUAAAUGCUUCAUAAAAUGCCAGUAUAACUCUUACUGUACAACUUGCCUGCUUAAUUGAGAUAAGGCCUAGGGACAUGUGGAGUUAGCCACGCCCCCUAGCUAUGCUGGAGAGUCAACCCUUAUUUGCACUUCUGCCUGGUGUGUCCUAGGCUAGGAUCCACACCUAGUACACAAUUAAAAUCCCUUACUUACCAAGGUUUUCACCAAAAAUAAAAGUUCCUAAGAGUUAACAUUAUAACAUGUAAUUGAAACUACUAAAGAAACAAUUCUACAUGCAAGGUGUUUUUUGGUGAAAGUUUAUAAGAGGUCAUGGAAAUGUGGAUUUUUUUCUGCCUAGAUUGAAGUGUUAAAAGAUUGUUUUAAGUAAGAAAAAAAUCUAAAGGUUUAAACAAGUUGUGGAAGGUUUAUAAAAUUAAUUGUAAGAGAUCCUGUGUGUGGACAUAUUGGCUAAAGUUAAAGGGGUAUUAUUCAGUUUUCCAUAAAUUAAACAUUGGAAUAAAAGCACAAUAGGUUUUUCUAAAAGUACUGAUCUGCUCUUUCACACCAAUCAAUGUAAAAGUUUAUAAAAGGUUUAUAAGAAUCUUACCUUAUGGUUAAACAUUAAAAUUGGGUAAAUAUGUCUAUUAGGUUUUAUUGGGUUUGACAUUAAUAGUACAUUAAUGUAAAGAUGAAAUUUGGCUUAUGUGGUAUAAAAAUCUUACAGGACGCAUCAAAUUUGAAAUGAUGUUUUCCUUUUUUUGGACUAUAUUUGCAUAAAUUUGUUAUUGGUAUAUGUUCCAAAGUUAUGGGAAACUUCUAUUAUUCUAAUAUGACAGUGUAUGUUAUUAAUAAUUAUCAUUGUUAUGUAAAAUUUUGUGUGCCACAGAGGUAACCAAAUUUCCUUAUCAGUUGUGGCUUUAAUAGUGGCUAUCCUAAAACUUUUUAUUAUCCAUAGAUAGUUGUUUAAUCCUCUUUAGAAGAUGGCUUAUAAUCAACUAUAGAACUAGCAGGUGUUCUUAAAUGCAGGUUUCUAAUAACUUUGGAAAUUGUAACAUUGGAAUAAAGGAAACAACUUUUAGAACUCUCAUUAAGAGGUGGAGUGUUCAUGAAUGGAAUGUUCAGUUAACAGGAGUUAACUGAAUUAACUGAACCAAUAGAAAACUGAAGUAAUCUUUUUAACUUUGAUUAAAACACUUCUGAUCUUUUGUUUUGUUUUUCAGAGUCAAGGAAACUUUUCUUUUGAGCUAGUUACAGCUUUUAACAGUUGAGGUACUCCUAUGAACAAAAUUUGGAACAUAUUUAUUUCUCUCUACCUGAUUUCUUCAGAAUUUGGAAACUAGUUUUGAAUGUUCUUAACUUACAGCAAUAUAGUUAUCUGCAUAAGGGCAAUAAGAAUCUGUUUUCUUUUACAACAGGACACAAUUGGAGAAACUGGUUAUUUUACCAAGGCUUUGACUGGAAUGAUGUGCUUUCCUUUAAGGAAUCAAACUUGACUUGUAGAGCCAGUAAAAGCCCUUUGGGGAACUGGGCUCAUACCUUGCCUACAACAGUCCCUGUACAUGGUUUCUUAUCUGUGGUAAGUAAAUAAUGUCACUUUCUGACAGGUCCAGAAGCCCCAAGUUAUCUUGGGACCCCAAGAGGAGAAGAAUUUACUCAACUCAUAGUUAUUGGAGGGUACAAACUGAUGGCUGAGCUUGGCUUUAAAAAGUCUUAUAUAAGAUUCCUUCUAUGGAACAGAAUUCCAUCAAAGCCAAUUUAAAAAGAGCCGAUGUGAAAAAUAAUUAUUCUUACUGCACUUUAUACAAAUAAUCAGGCCAAGUAUAAUAAAGAAAUUUGUCUUACCAUGAUUUGCCAUUAGUAAAAAUGGGAAACUGGAGAGAGGGAUAUUAUGUUUCAAAAACUACAGUAUACUUGUUAUUAGAUUCUAGUCUCAUUAGUUGUUUUUAAGUUUGUUUCUGCAAUUUAGGCUAACCCUGCUUAUUCCUGUGAACCAACCAGUGAUCUCUGACUGCUGCUCAGAAGAAACAAGAGGGAUAGGUAAUAUAAAAAUCUGGAUCAAUAUUCUUAUUCUGGGCACAUUGCAAUCAGCUAGCAACCCCAUAUCAUCUUGGUUUCAACAGUUGCCCAGUUCACAGAAAGCCUUCUAAUUUAGUUUACUUUGAAUAACUUUACUUAUUUUGUCUCACUGUUGUGAAAUGUAUUGCUGUUAUACUCUGUGUAGAAAUACAGGACAAGCUUACUGAAUGUUUCCUUAAACUAAACACUCCUUAAUGUUCCAGAUACCACCUUUUGUUGAAACUCAAGAGUUAUAAAGGGACCUUACCAUACUGAUACCUUCUUACUGAGCUCCUCUCUACCCUGAAUGCAAGAGACCCUCAUAGCUAGGCAGGAAUAUUAUCACCCCUAUUCAUCAUGAAGAAGUUACAGAAGAUGGCUCUUCAUCCCUCUGAAACCCUUAGGGCUAAUGGUUCUCUUAUAAAAGGGAGGGGGGAAAUAUCAGAGGUGUGUGAACCAGAGCAACUCCAUCUUGAAUAGGAGCUGGGUAAAAUGAGGCUGAAACCUACUGGGCUGUAUUCCCAGAUGGUUAAGGCAUUCUAAGUCACAGGAUGAGAUAGGAGGUCACCACAAAAUACGGGUCAUACAUACCUUGCUGGUAAAACAGAUUGCAGUAAAGGAGCCAGCCAUAAUUCACCAAAACCAAAAUAGCGACAAGAGUGACCUCUGGUCCUCACUGCUACACUCCCACCAGUGCCAUGACAGUUUACAAAUGCCAUGGCAACAUCAGGAAGUUACCCUAUAUGGUCUAAAAAGGGGAGGCAUGAAUAAUCCACCCCUUGUUUAGCAUAUCAUCAAGAAAUAACCAUAAAAAUGGACAACCAGCAGCCCUCAGGGCUGCUCUAUGGAGUAGCCAUUCUUUUAUUCCUUUACCUUUUUAAUAAACUUGCUUUCACUUUGCAUUGCAGACUCUCCCUUAAUCCUUUCUUGCGCAAGAUCCAAGAACCCUGUUUCAGGAUCUGGAUCAGGACACCUUUCCUGUAACAGUUUUAAGCUCAUGGUUUAUUAUAUUAAUCUCUCUCAAUUUGUUCAUCAGGAUAGAAUAUUUGGAGAGGUGAAACUUCUGUACUUCCUCAGAGCACCCCUAGUCUUCCUGAAUUGCAUUUUCCUGCCUUUUCUUUCAUUUCAGCCUAAGAGAAUCCCUUUUAAGGUGUCCUGAUCCUUUACAGUAGUAACAGACUGGGAGGGAAAGAGUUCUCAGACCAAGGGAGCUUAAAAUCUUUCUACAGCUGACAGGUUUGAGAACUUAAUUGCUUUAGCUGUAAGUGGGCACUCUUCUGCUUUUCUUUUUUUAUCAUAGUGUAGGAUAAUUGGUCAGCUAAGUUAACUAGUUUACUAGUUCUUACUGUGGCCCAGUUUGUUAUGUGGCAUUUUACAAGGCUGGCUAAAUCAUCAUCUACUCCAUUUAAGAAAUUCACAUUUAAUAAUGUAUCAUUUUAUUGUUUUCAAAGCAAUCAGCUCACAUCCCACAAUAUUGUCUUAAAAGUUUUAUCAAAAUGUGUGAAAUAAUCUAAAACUGAUUUAUUUGGGUUCUGGUGGCAUUGUUGGAUUUUUUUCCAAUCCACAACCCUUUGGAACACUGAAGGAAUAACAUUUAACAGAGCAAUCGCUCAUUCCCAUGCAUCUUUACACCUGUCUUCUGGAUUUUGGGGGCUGGUUGUUGUGGCUCUAUUGGACCUUCAGGGGCUAAAUCAGCUAUAGGGUCUGACCAUUGUGCUUUUUUCCAGCCAUUCGUUAUCUUUAGCUUCUGAGACCAACAUGUGAACUAGCAGAUAAAGGUCUGAAUGACCUGGGUCAUAGGUUCUGAUAAUGAGCUCAAAUUCUUGGGUACACCUGAUUGGAACUUUAUGGGAGUCAGGACUUUUUUUUUUUUUUUGAGAUGGAGUCUUACUCUAUAGCCCAAGCGGGAGUGCAGUGGAGCGAUCUCAGCUCACUGCCACCUCCACCUCCUGGGCUCAAGCGAUUCUCAUGCCUCAGCCUCCUGAG